AGUAGGUGGCGGCGGAGGGAGUUCUCCGGCAGCAGCAGCGGCCAAGUGGUUGUUUCUUCAGCAGCAAUUGUUUAAGCCCAGAGGUGUGCCGUGUGGAUUUUCGAUGGCGAGUCAGAGUGUUUGCACCAAACGGAGCAAUGGUGGGAAACCACCAAAGGGAACUGCAUUUCAAUGAGUGGGUGACCCUUCAUCGGUGGUCGGAGCAAAGGUUUUACGUCUCUCUCUCAACCAUCUAUCUUGAACUGCAUUUCUAAAAUUCUAAAAUUCAUAGUGCAUGCUAUAAAUCAAACUGUUGAUACUGUUGAAAAUUCAUAAUGCAUUCUAAAAUUCAUACUGUUCUUAUUUGUGGAACUUGACUGACUACUUAGUAGCCAUUGUUUCAUACUUACGUGCUUGAUAUUUGAUAAGUUAUUUUCAUGUUCAGAUUGGUAAGCCGUGUGGGUCUGGAAAUGAUGCAUAUGUAGUGUUUGUUAAAAAGCCUAUAUGAAAGAACGCCAAGAUAAUGGAGAGCAAAUUGAUUCUUUUGGGAGCAAAAUGUUUAGGUAGAUUCCAAGCUACUAUCAAUUGAGGUUCCUGUCUAUCCCAUUUCCACAAUCAGUUAUGUCUGACAAACUGGUAUUUGGAUGACAUCCAAAGAAGAAGCGACUUUUUAACACACGUCUCCCCCAUCCUCCACCCACACCACCGCUCGCCUUGCCCUUGAUCAAAGACAAAGAACCUCCCCUUGCAGCAGUAGGCCCGUCCACUGAUGACCACCAACAUCAUCCCAUCACCACCAUGGAGUGAUUCGGCCCCCCUUCUUUUCUAUCCUCCAUCUCCUAUAGCGAAAUCACGGCAACGAUAACAACCAGGGAUGUGGAGAUAUGGAAGGUUUCGAAUGGGGAAGGCAUGUAUGGGUAUAUUGGCUACUAGGCUGCCCUUUUUGAUGACACUUAAAAAAUGCUUUUUGAAAAACUGGUGAUUCUACAUUCCAAUAAUUGCAUAUUGUGGUUCAAUGUGAAAUUGAGUACCUGCAAUGCUCCAAGGGUAAUCAAGAAGCUGUUGGCUUUGGUGGUGUGCUUAUGGAUGACAAAGGAGCAUGGAUUUCAGGAGUGCAUCCUUGGACAAGGAGAGACUCAAGUAGAAAUGGAGAUGGAUUUGCUGCAAGUAGUGAAUCUAACCAAAGAAAAUCCAGCUCCUCAUCGCCCUCAUAGGAAUCUGAUUGAGAAUUGUCAGAUUUGUAGUAAAAGCUCUUUGAAUCACACUCCACAAGAGGGGAACAAAUUAAUUAAGUGACUGAUGUUCUGGAUUAUGUUGGCGAGACUCAAUGGUGGUGUUAAUAUGAAACACUCAAUUGUGAUUUCCAAAAGGAAAAUCUUUUUGCAGCUAACAUUGUAGCGGCUAAAUGUGAGAGGCAAUGCGGCCUUUAUGCGGUUCCUGUCAU